UCACCAAGGAUAAAACAGGCUCUGAUACCAAUUGAUAUAGUAAAACUAGGAAAUCAAAUAAGAGAAUUCAAAAUUCUUGAACAAACAAAGGAACUCAAUGAGCAUGGUGGUCAUGCUUUUCAUUAUUAGAGAAAGAAAUUAUAAGAAGGAAAAUGCUUACAAAUCCUGGCUUGAAAAUGCUUCCUAACUGCUAAUUGCUACUUAUAGUUUCUAACCACUAACUGGCUAAUAACUUGCCAAAUGAUAAAAAUUAACAAAAUCAAAUUUAACUAACUCUAGACAUGUCAACCAGUUCCUAACUACCUUCCUAAGCCUGAAACACUUUUUGAUAAAUCUGAAUGAAUAUAAUUAGUACACUGCAUCUGUUUAAUUUCUUUCUUUCUCUCUCUCUUGCAGAUGGAUAAUAAUGACGGCUUCAAUGUUUUGGUCUAUCCCCAUGCGGACUACGCAUUCAUAGUGGCACUACUUAUGAUUGUUAGCGAGAUGAAACAUUAUUUUGACGAAAUGGUGUAUUUGGCCGCCGGAAUGGCACCACUUGGAGUUGGUAUGAAUUAAAGGAGCUCCCAAGUAAUUUUACUCAAUUAUGGACCUAUUUAAAAUUAAAUCAUGGGCUUGAUUUCUGUUAUAGAAUAGAUAGGGUUUGGUUUUCAUUUUCAGAGGAAUGUUUAUUUCCACCUCAUUGCAUGAAUUUGAGAGAACAAAAAAGCGUUAACAAAGUCUGGUUGGAUGGAUGAUGCCAAAUAACAUUUGCAUCUUCAAUGAGCCACGACCAUCAAAGAGGUUCCUUGCUACACUCUCUUGAGCACGAACACUCUGUCAUGCAAAUUCCCUAAUCAAAUCAUCUAUCUUCUUUGUGGGUAGGUCUUGUAUCAUACAAGCAUAGUUUUAAAUUGCGAUCGCGGUGGUGGUUUCUAGUUACAUUGUAGUGAGUCAGAAAACUUUUAUAUUACAAGUAAUUGUAGGAAAAUAUGAAAAAUAUGACUGAUGCGAUCAUAAUUGUGAUUGUAAUUGUUGCAUUGUGAUGAGUUAAUAUAUUUUGACAUUAGGACCGCAAUUAUGAUUGUAGAACCCCAUUUAAAACCAUGCAUACAAGUAUCAGCAUUGUAAGUCACAAUGUAAUUUAAAUGAUUUAUUAAUUUUUGGAUAGUGUCGCAACCUACCAUUCGGCAGGAGGGCGACACGAGGGCUCACGGGUGCGUCUUCCAUGGGAGGAAGAUGCGCGGAGUCGCCACCAAUGUUUAUUCGAGAAAAACGUCGGAAAAAUCGAAAAGAUGUGAUUUACGAACUUUAAGUGUGAAAGGUUCCAGAGUUGUAUUUACGCAUGGGGAAGGUAUUAGCACCCCACGCGUCCGUCACAAAGGACGAUAGCCUUUAAUCAAGUGUGCAAAGAUGUCUUCAAAUUGUUUUAUUUUCCCUUUUUUACGUUUUUAUGUCUUUUUAUGCCUUUUUGUAUUUUUUAUCUUUUUGUGGUCGACAAGGGUGUUUUCCUUACUCCUACGUAUUCCUCAAUUGUGAUAAGAAAAUCAGGCCUACGUAAUUCUUUCAAAAGGGGCGAAUCAAGUGAUUCUUUUUACUUGGAAGGGGUCAUUUAAGGCGUUGGACCUUAAAAUGAUCCAUUUUACUUGGUGAGAAAGUUAAGGCGUUGGACCUCUAACCAUCUCACGAGGUCGACAAAAGUGGGGCUUUUGCUCCUUCGUAUCCUCCAUCGAAGAGGAAAUCAGACUUACGUAGUUCUCGCAAAAGCGGUAAAGUUACAUGUUGAUUUUAUGCUUUUGAACGGUCCAUGUUAACCGAUAAAAGCAAAGAGGAUCGUUUAAGGCGUUGGACCUUAAAACGAUUUUUAGUGAUUUUUUGCGGACAAAGCUUGAUUUGUGAGUUGAUUUUAACCUUAGUUUCACUUUGGUUAUUAGUCAAUUGAUCCAAGAAAACUUCCAAAGAAAAACGCCCGAUUGAAUUUUUUUUAUUAUUUUAUUCAAAGAUAUUUUGAUUAUUUUAUUAUUAUUUUUCAAUAUAUUUUGAUUAUUUUAUUAUUAUUUUGCUUUUUUUUUUGUUUAACCAAGAUUACAGCGUGAAUAAUCGGUUAGAUUUUGUUUUAACAGUGAUUAAAUGAGAUUACAACGCAAAUGAUCAGUUGAAAUUCAUUUUAUCAUUUAUUAGGUGAGAAAACGACUUAAAUAAACAGUUAAAGUAUGUUAAAAACAGAAGAAAAGAAAACUGAAAGUAAGUGAAAUUAAAGUGAAAGUUGCUGAACACGGUAUAUUAAAGUGAAAUUAAAGAAGGGCAUAGACUCGAAUUGCUAUUUACACUCCUAUCUUGAUAAGUUCACCCCCCAUUUUUGUGUUUUUGGCUGUUUUCUUUUCGGAAUGUUGCGAAACUUUACGGAUUAUGCAACAAUACUCUUUUUGACUUCUGGAAUGUUGCGGAACUUUACGGAUUGCGCAACAAUGUUUCUUUUUUACUUCCAGAAUUUUGCGGAACUUUACGGAUUGCCUAACGAUGGGGGUUAAGUACCUCGAGGCGAUCAAGCGAAGGUUGCAUGCCACCAAAUAAUGGUCCCCAUACAAAAUUAGGAUAUGAGAGAUAGAUAUUAAAUUGCAUCUAAAUUGUGGAAUGUCUAAAACAUCAAGAAAUUUAUGCCUUUUUUGAGAUUCGGGUAUCCUGUUUCCUUAACCGUAGUCACAUCAAAAGCAACUAGGCACUAUGAUAUGUAGUGGUUCUUUUCAAGGUUUCGCAUUAAUUGAAUAUAUACAUUACCAAUCAUGUGAUUGAGAUGUUCACUAUCAUUGUUCGAGUGAGAUCAAGAAAGGGAUGUGAAUUUCAGCUUAAUUCAAAUCUUAAAAUCUAACUCAGAAUGCCGAUUGCUCCUUCCAUAUAUUAUCUUUAGUUAAUAUUAAACUUGUUUUCAUCGCAUAGGGCCAGCUGGUUAUAAUCGCACCCUUCAACAGUUGCAUUCUUCUGCUAGUAGUUGUCAGCCCGUGUAAAGCGCGCUCCCCCGAACAGAUUUCUGUGUUUCAAAAAGUUUUGCAUAUGUUCUAGUUUGCGUACGAAAAUUUUUCUUGAAAACUCAUUUGGUUACACCCAAAAGUAUGUUUGCAUAUGAAAAUUUUAUUUAAAAACUCGGUCUUCUAGAAGUAACACAGUAGUUAUUUAUUAAACUUAAGUUUACAAACUUUAAUUCAAAUAUAUGCAAUAAAGCAAUGGAGAUUUUUAGAGUGGUCUAGGAGGUCAAAGUCAGAAGACAAAGGGAAACAACGCCUCAUAUAUAAUGGCAAACCCUCUUAGUUUUUCUAAAAGUUUGACAUUUUUUUCUCUCUGUUAUCUGAGUAAUAUAUUGCCUUUAUUUUGGAAUGACUUAUAACUAAUUAUAAAACAAUAAGAAUAUUAAACAUAGGUUAUAUCUAUAAAUCGUUUACCAUAUAUUUUUAGGUAGGGAAAUAAGGCAUAUUGAAUCUGUGAGUUUUUUGGAUCUCUAAACAUAAUAUAUGACCAAAAUUAGAUACUGUCUACGGAAGAUUAGCGAUACCUUGAGUUUUGUUGGGUUACUGUGAAUUAAGCUUAUCUGAACUAUGAAUACAUAAAGCUACAAUUUUUUUCAUCCUUUAAGAGAAAUGCAUAAUGCGGAGCCAGUGGAAGGGGAAUAAUCUUCAAGGCAUGCGCACUUCAGAAGAUUGAUUUUAUCCCUCCAAGUUAUACCUAGAAUAAAGUUAAAUAUUAAAAAUUAAAAUAUUACAUCCUUUAGAAGUAAAUUUUCCUUUGAUAAUAAAUUAGACAUAAAUUGAUACUUGCACAACUCGUGAGACUCGACAACGCUUCUAUUUUUAUUUAUAGCGAACAAUACUUAUAUUUAGUAGUACUAAUUAUACUUCACUCGAUCAGUGAACUUGUCAUCCGAAGGUCAUAAAAAUUGAAUCUUUUUAUACCCCUUAAAAUCCUUUCUCAAAAGAGUAUUUGGUUCAAAAGAUAUAAUACAUGUAUAAUAAUUCUUACAACAAUUUAUACAACAUGAUUUUUGUGUCUAUAUUUCUAUUCUAUCAUUUAUCAUCUUUCAAAAUUUUCUCUCUCCUUUCACUUAUCUCUCUUUAUUGUAAGAUUUAUUAUACAAAUUAUUGUACAAAUAUCAUUUCUUUUCGUUCAAUUAGGCAAAAUGACAUCAAGGUAAAUUGCUUGGGUAUAGGCCGAAUAAGGUCAAGAGAGCAAGACUAAAACUUCCCACACUUUCAUCAUUGUUUUCUGCUACACCGCAUUGCAUUUCAGAAAUUCAAUCAGGAAUGCAAAAUCUGGACGUAAUAGUGGAAGUACAGGAAACAACAUUCAAGAAUAAGUUUUAUUCAUAAGAUCCAAAAAGUACACGCAACUUUUCAAGUUACAAGUUUACACUAGCUUAAGAGGGAGAUUAAUUUUUAAUAUAUAUAUAUAUAUAUAUAUAUAUAUAUAUAUAUAUAUAUAUAUAUAUAUAUAUAUAUAUAUAGGAUUAAGUGAGAUUCGGGAGAUACACAAGCUAUAUAUGAGCUUAAACAACCAAAUUAGCUCAAAAGUUAAAUUGUUUUUUACUCGGAAAUUGCUGAGUGGGAUCUGAAAAGUACAAUUAUUAUUUAAAUGAACUUUAGUGAAUAAUAAUUAAUAGAGAAAAUGAUUUUUAUACACCACAUUUUUUAAGGAAAAUAAUUUUUGUUCUUAUUUUUAGUCAAAUGUUGUUAAGGUCUUUAUUCAUUCAUACCAAUAAAUUUGGUCUUUUAACUUUAUUUCAGAAAACAUGUAGAUUUAGUUCAUCCAAUUUUAAGAAUUUAUCAUAGUUUUUUAAAUUAAGAGUUACUAAAUCCGCGUGUAUUUUAAAGUUUGAAGAAAAUCAAAUUUAUUAAGAUGAAAAUAAAAGACUAGAUCACAUUUGACUAAAAGUAUACGAACUAAAAAGUAUUUUAUUUUCUUUAUUUAAAUACUUAUUGUUUCUAUUUAUAUGUCUUCUUAUCACAUCAUAUAAUUUAUUGUACCACAAUCUAUUUGUUUUAUCUCUCCUAAUAUGUGUUGAAUAACAUUUGAGGUAUCUAAAAAUCAUUUUUGUAAAUAAUAAUGACUAAGGUGGCUCUUUUGUAACAAAUUAGAGAAAAAUUAUAUUUGAAAAUUCAAUCUUUUCAAAUACUUAAUCAACACUUAUCAAUCUUUUCUAUCUCUCUUCUUAUCUCAUUAUAUAUAUAUAUAUAAUACUUAUAUUUUUUUCUCUCUCUUAUAGGUGUCACAUGGUAUUUUAGGUGUUCAAGCAUCAUUUUUCUGUAAAAAAAUGGAUAAUAGUUAAAGCACAUGAUGGUCCGGCAAUGGAAGUGAUUAAUUGAAAAGAUUGAUUGUAUGGUUGAGGGCGAUUUUAUGAGGAAUAUAAAAGUGAAAAUUAUAUAAAGAAGAAAAGUGAAUGUGUUUAGUCGUAGUUAAUGAAGUAUAAAAUGUAUCCUAUGAAAUAGAAAUAUUUCAUCCCAAAAAUGUGAAUGUGUAUGUUGUUUUUAGUUUGAUGCCUCAAAAGUUAUCAAAGCACAAUAAAGACCAUGUGUGUGUUUGGAUGAGAGUUGGUAAAAUUAAUUUUGUAAAAUUAAUUUUGAAGUGAUGUAAUUUAUAUUUGGAUAUUUUAUUAUAUAAUCAAGUAAGGAUUAAAAUUCAGUACAAAAUUUUAGAUUCAACGCAAAAGUUAAUGAAAGUUGUUUUAAUCCAGAAUCAAUUUUGAAUUUUUCUCUAAUGUAAAAUCAAACAUGUAAAAAUAUAUCAAAAAUUCAUUAUAAACUCAAAAUCAUUUUUGAACACCAAACCAAAUACCUUUAGUUGUCAAAAAACAUUGGCUCGUUUACAUAGUUGAAAAUAGAGGUAUUCACUAUGAGGGUUGAUUCGAUUUUUAGAUAAAAGGUGAUUCAAACGAAGUAUAAAACAAAGAUACAGUUUGGUUUAGUUUGAUUUAAAUAUAACAUCAAAUUCAAACUAAAUUAAACCAAUUUUUACAGUUUGAUUUAGUAUGGUUUCACUUUUUUUAAUAUAUUAUCAUAGUUUAGAUUUAUAAAUUAAACUUGUGAUUAUUAUAUAUUAUAUAUGCUAUAUUAUUUAAAAAAUGAUUUUUAUUUUAUUGAAUUUUAUUUAACACAUUUUAGUUAUAAGAUACUAUUUUCUCUUCUAUUUAGCAAUGAAAUUACCAACUCUUUUUUAAUAACAAUAAUUUGUAUAUCACUUAAUAUUUAACACUGCUUUUUAACAAUAUUAGUACAUCUUUUUUUUAACAUGUAAAAAUAAUAUAUAUAUAUAUAUAUAUAUAUAUAUAUAUAUAUAUAUAUAUAUAUAUAUAUAUAUAUAUAUCUUGAUUAAAAUACAAAGAAAAAUAAUAUAUAAAUUAUUUAAUACUUAUUCUUAUUUAUCACAAUAAAAAUUAAUAUAAUUAUAAUAUGCAGUUUGUUUGAUUUUUUAUUACAAGAUCUAAAAAUUAAAUCAAAAUGUAAAAAAUAUGUAAUUUUUUGGUUUUUUUUAUUUUUGCAGUUUUUUUAUGUAAGCAAUUUUGGGUUUAUUUGAAUCGAUUUGGUGAUUUAUAAGCAAUUUAAUUCGGUUUAAAAUACUCUGGUUGAAGACAAUUAGUUUCGUCACAGUAGUAGGUACACCAUUACCGAUUAACCCGCAAUUAGGUUGCUACACAGUAAAAGAAAGGAGGCAUGCAUGUGAACUUUUUUAACAACUUUGCUUUCUUCUUUAUUUCAUUCAAUUUUGUUCUCACAUUUUAAUUCAUUCUCUUUCCUAACAACCUAAAACAAUGGGAACGUCGGUGUCGCUAUGUGUUUGAGAUUGACCACUCGUACUCGUGUUUAACGCGUGUAUCUAUAGAUAAUGAUUGGUUUUUUACUUUUUACGCGGGUAUGUAUGCUCCUUUACUUGGUCAGUAUAUUUCUAAGAACAUAAUGAUUGGUUUUUUUACUUUUACACGUAUAUAUAUGUACGGAAUAAUGAACAUGCUUUAUAAACUAGCAUAUAAAUUAAACCACAAGAGACUCCGUUUCGUUCCAUAACAUAUCUCCCUCUCCAAAUGGCAUUCCCAGUUAUCAGCAGUGACUACUGUGCUCCUUACGCUAUCAAUCUUCAAAUCAAUACAAAAACAGGUUUCACGUACGACGCAAACAAUGCCUGUCGCUUUUAUAUCGAAGAUAAAUUAUUCACACUUCACAAGCGACGUGUCUUGUGUGAUAAUCAAGGAAACCCCAUUGUCACUCUAUACAAGAAGGUUUGGCUACUGAGGCAUCUUAUACUCAUUGAUUUCCUUCAAUAAGUUAGUUAGUUAAUUAGGUUUAUUGAUUCGAUAUUCCCAGCAAAAUCUUUUUAAAAUUUUCGUUUUAGCUACUAAAUUAUCCAUCUAUAUUCUUCUACUUAUUGAUUUCCCUCAACUAAUUAGUUCAUUAACUGUAUUAAUUCAAUAUUUCCAGCAAUUUUUUUAUAUAAGCUACUAAAUUAUCCAUAUAUAUUGUUAUUAUUCUUAAUUUUUUUUAUGUAGAGAAUGACAUUGCAUGGGCGAUGCCAAGUUUUUAGGGGUUAUAAAAGCAAAGAUUUCUCUCAAUUGCUCUUUUCAGUGAAGAGAUCAUCAAUGAUACCGAGUGGGAUGGUUAACUUAGAGGUCUUCCUCGCUAACAACCAAAGAGAAAGUGCCUGUGACUUUAGAGUCAACGUUUAAUUUGUAGAGAUAAAAGAUCAUGCACUGUUUAUGCCGGUGAAUCUCCUAGAAUUGUUGCCACGGUAUGUACUGCGUUAAUUCUUGUGUGUUUUAUAUAUACACAAGCACACAAUACACAUAAACUUAACUGCCUUUUUGAUAAAUCUGAAUGAAUAUAAUUAGUACACUGCAUCUGUUUAAUUUCUUUCUCUCUCUCGCAGAUGGAGAAUAAUGGCGGCUUCAAUGUUUUGGUCGAUCCCUAUGUGGACUACGCAUUCAUAGUGGCACUACUUAUGAUUGUUAGCGAGAUGAAACAUUAUUUUGAUGAAAUGGUGAAUUUGGCCGCCCGAAUGACAAUUGCAUUGGGUAGUAGUAUGACUUAACAGAGCUCCAAAACAAUUUUACUCAAUUAUGGACCUAAUUAAAAUUAAAUCAUGGGCUUGAUUUCUGUUA
rnacentral:lncRNA from 1 species